AUGUGUCUUUGUGCUGCUGGUGGAUCCUUUCUCGCUGCUACCGUCUCUCGUUUCUAUCUCUUUGCCCAUCUAAUCUUUCCUUCACUCUCUUUCUUUUUUUCCCCUCUCAGGCACACACACACACACACACACACACACUCGAUUUCUUUUUGUCUCCCCAGGUGUGCACUGGUCCAGGUGUAUGUCUUCGCGGGAGCUCAUCACUGCUCUAAUGAGAAUGAUCACCGCUCAUCUGUCUUCAUCCACAUCCAACAGAGAGCACCUGCUACUAUCUGUGUUCUGGGAGUUGCUGGCACCUCAUCAAGCCACACACACUCCUCGUUCUCUGAUGAGCGUUGAUGCCUGUUCGGCCUCUAAUGUGCCCGAGGUGAAAAAUGAGGUUGACGUAGACAUGGUUAACCAUAAUGCCAAGGCGGAUGCCACCCGAUAGCAGCCAGACACCUGAGAAAGCAGGCCUGGGUCCAGCUCACCACUCACCCCCCUCUCCACUUAUAUUAUUCAUCCCUCUUUGAAAUGCCUUUUAUGCUGCUCAAUUACCCCUCCAGCGGCCCAGUGUGGACACUGUAAUGACAUUCUGAUUAUCAGUCUGUAAAUGAGAAAUGAAAUGAGUGUGUGAUGCCGUGCCAGGGGAAGAAUGGAGCGGCUAGAAGCCUUUCAAAAAUGGGAGCCGUGGAGGAGGCGGAGGA
rnacentral:lncRNA from 1 species